UGACCUGCCAACUGCAGCACUCUGUGGAGCUGAGAAACAAACACACGCUGGUCACUUUCAGCAUUUGGACAGCUACACAGACCACUUCAUUCCCAGUUCUUCUGGAUUUAUUAGGACUCCAAACUGAAGAGCUCUGGAGCCCUGGAGUCUGGCUGAAGGGCACAGCGAUAGUGCUAUUCAGAGCUCGCGUCAAAUCAAGAGCAGCAGCACGUUCUCUACACACACACUUCAGCUCCAUCUACACAACAACAGCAUGUGCACUGCGGACAGUUCACCCCCCCAAAAAUGACUUGUGUUGGACAUAAUGGAGGAUAUAAUGAAGGAUGCUGGAAAAAAAAAAAAACAGCUGUUGACUUUUAUAGUAUGUUUUGUUUCUACUAUGGCUGCUUUUUACAACAAUCUUCAAAAUAUCUUCUUUCAAGAGUUCACAAUUAGCUGAUAAUCAAUAAAGCGUAAUUGCCAUGCUGUCCCAGGAGAAAGCCCUGAGCUCGUAAUAUCCUCGAGCCCGGGGCUCCCUCCCAUUGGAAGGGCGAGAGAGGAGUACGAGCUCAGGUAAGUCUCGAGAACUCCCCUACUUGUCGCCGUGUGAGAAGUGUAAACUAAGGUUGUCUUGGAUGAUAAUUUGGUUAAGUCGAUUGGCUAUAGUGUAUGUUUUUUGGAUGGUGGGAGGAACACGGGGGAAACCAACGUGAACACGAGGAGAACAUGGAAACUCAAAAACCCCAACUGGCCCGAUAGGAGGUUGUACCAGUGGUGUUCUUGCUGUAAGGCAACAGUGCUAGCCACUGGGCCACCGUGUCGCCCCGAGCGGGGAAAAAAAAGGGGGCGGGGUUGGGGGAGUAGGGGUGGAAGUGGGGAAAGCUUUAAGACAAAGAUAACUGGAGUGAAAAACUCUAAUUAUUUAUAAUUUGUUCGUAAUCAUCUAAUACGGCAGAUUACGGAGCUAAUGAGGUGCCAGCUGUGUUGAUCAUAAACACGUGAUCCUUUCGAAAUUAGUUUAGAAAGAUACACACUUCAACAGAACAGAAGAAAGAACUUCAUAUAAGUUUAUAACCACCUGGGUGGGAGGAGACGUUAUUUUUGGGUGAACCACCCUUUAAUUAAUUUCCCUUUUGAUAGUUGUUGGGCAGGGACAUUCACAUAUGAAUUGUGAUUUAUGUAAAUGAUGCUAUAAUUUGUAAUUAUUAAAAAUGAUUAAAAAUC